rnacentral:tRNA from 1 species
GGUUUUGUAUUCAAAUUAAUGAUUUUAAAUUGCAAAUUUAAAGGUGGGUAAAAUUACCUUAAAACCU